GUUGGCUCCUUGCCUCCUGUUUCCAAGAUAGUUGCUACAACUCCAGCCCUCACAUUUGUGUCUAGAGGAACAGAAGGAAAUAGAGACAAAUGAGAGGGGGUGUUUUGUUUAAGUUUUUAAUUUAAAGUUUUAUAUGUAUGUGUGUCUGUGCAUAUAGAUUCCCCUGGAACUGGAGUACAGACAAUUGUGAGCUGGGAAUCAAACUCAGGGCCAUUGCAAGAGCAAUACACAAUACUCAGCUUCUGAACCACCUCUCCACUCCCUAGUUGGGUGUUUUAAACUAUGUUUAUCUCAUUUUAUCGAGAAAAAUAAAAAGUGUCUGUCUGUGAUCGAAGCCACGUGAGCAGUAAUGGAGGCUGGCAAAGCAUUACCAUCUCAACAGCACGUGAAAGUUGAGUUCUGCUAAGCAAAGCUGGAGAAACACUAAGUGCACACUUGCUUUGAGACAGUGACUGAAACAUUGUUUCAGCUGCCGGAGCCUGGCGUGGAGGAGUGUCUGUAGCUGUUGAAGUUCCCAUAAUCCAGGCCCAGACACUUCCUCAUGAACGCGGCAGAGGAAUGAAGGACCAGUUAAGCUAAGGGGCCGGAAAGAAAGAUGCAACUUCUGCUUUAACCCAAAGCUAGAAUCUGGCAUGGCUUUUUAAAUUAUGUUUAUUCCUCCUCUUUCUCACUGUUUCUCCUGUUUCCCUCGUUAUCCAUUUUUAAAAUUGGUUUUCAAUUGCGCGCUUUAUCAUUUUAAAAUUCUCACUGUGAGAAUAUAAACUUGCUUUUAAAUCCACUCGCUUAGAACUCGACCUGCAGCGAUUCCCCUCCCAGUGAGCAGUCUGGGCAGGGCCCAGUCACCAGAGCUGACCACUGACCCUGCUCUUCCCAACAUGCCUGCAUUAGAUACAGUUCAGCAGUGUGAAGAAGAAAUCUGCCUACAGUUACAAUAAAAUUAAUCAAUGGAUAGUCACAUGCACUAGAAGUUUCCAUAACUAAGGGGCAACACAGAAACCCAAGCUUUGUUACUCUUUGCUGAACAGUGUGUGGAUUAGAUAACUAGUAAGGCUGUCCCAUAUGUCCCUAACCAAAGGCAGCAAUUGUGAGCCCAGGAUGAAAAGGCACUGACACCUGUGGAAUUGCAUGGUGUUAAGACAGAAGAGAGAAAUUGUGGUAGACAGAGGUUUCAAAAGAAUGAAAAGAAAGGUUCUAGGUGCCUGCUUAAAAGAAUGGAAAAUGGUGCCUAGGAGAGAUAUUUGCACUACCAUGUUCAUGGUAGCAGUGAGACAGACUCUAUGACAGACUACAAACUGACAGUUCAGGAGAUGAAGCCUCGCCAAGAGAACUGGGCAAGUCCAGGCAAGCCCAGGCAAGUCAGUUACUGAAAAACAAAACAAAACAGGCUUCAGGCAGCCCAUCAGAAACUGCUCUACCAUCAGAAGUUGCCCCACCACCUGGCUUGAGGCAAAGACAACCCAGUUAGCAGCAGUUUGCAGACCUUCUCAGCAAUAGUUUCCAGAUUUCCCCAUAAACAGUUUCCAGCCCCCACACGCCUAGAGAUGGGUCCAACAGAUCGAGAUAGAGGUCACCUACCCUGGGAUUCCCCUAAUGUGUUUUAAAUUGGGUCUGCAAGCUCGCUUCGAGGUCUCUCCUUCUUUGUAGAUGGUAGACUCUAGCAUGCUGGACCUCUGCAGAAGACACUCUUUGCCCUUACAUAUUAUGUGAGCCGGGGCAUCAUCCUUCGGUGAGUCAUGGAUCCUUACAGAAUUACAAUAGGCACCAGCUGUAGCAGCCAUCAGAGAAUGAACGACUCAGCAAACAUAAGCUAAGUGUACACAGUGGAACAGUAUUCAGGCUUAAAAGCCAAGAAAGGGCAAAUCUCACUUAAGUGGGGGUGUCUACAGUAGUGGGGAUGACACCGACCAGUGUACACAGGCGACCGCCAGGGCUGGGCAUUGUCAGUACUUGGUGGGGGCAGAGUUUCAAUGGGGAAAAUGGGAAGUUCUGGUUAAUGACAAUGGUGGACAGUAAGGUGAUAUGCUCCUGGGUCUCAGAGCUGUGCGCUCAAACACGUGCACGGACACAUGCGUGCACAUCCACACAAGUGCAUACAAAACUCCCACCACCACUAUCUGCUAAGUCUUUGAAAGUUUGGUCUCGGAGGAAAAAAAGGAGGCAAACUAGAAGAGCUUUGCAGAAACAGUUAACAUCUUUCGAUCAUUUCGUGGCGUGUUGUUGCCCUUGUUUUGUGGUGUGUCUUUGUUUCCCUUUUUAUAGUAAAUAUGCGCGACAUUUGUGAUUGGUGGAAAGGGAACACAAACUGUGAAAUGGAUAGCUAAGGAUGAGAGGCCAGAGUUCCUCUGCCACCCCUCACCCCAGGGCCAGGGAGCCCCAUCCCCUGAAGUUUGUUUCUGCUCAGAAGCCUGAAACACCUCGGCCCUUCUUCCAUGCCCAGGACCUAUGCUAACUCCGGGUCGGAUGCUAUAUUCUGACCUGGAACGAUUGGUUUUGCUGCUGCUGCUGCCACUGCCACCGCCACCGCCACCGCCACUGACUCCUGGGGACUCAGGAGGGUGCUGACUCCGGAGGUAACCUGGUAGGCCUCGCCUGUUCACUUUGAGAUGCAGAACAAAGCCCUUUACAGAAAAAGAUUUGGAUUUUCUGUGCUAAGCCAUGGAAGUAGUUUUCUAGACAAAAGGUGACUUCAGAACCUUCCAUAUCGACAUUUACAGCCACGGGACUGGACUGGCCAACAGUGUGAGCAUUUGUGAGCAUGCUUGAACGCUUCUUCGCAACAGGAGUGCAGCCUCGUUUAUUAUGGGUCAGAGGAAGGGAACAAUAGGGCGCUAAGAGGAUGUCUCGUCUGCCCCGCUGCCUGGGGUAAGCCCAAAAUAACCCGCUGAAUUGGAACUCUGGCCUCUUUUCUCUGGCCCCUAGGGAAGCCUUUCACAACCAUCCUCUAUUAUCCGACCCAUUUUUAACAAAGUUUAGUAUCAUAUCAGAAAGCAUCCCAUGUGUCAAAACUCUAUCCCCACUGCUGCUGACUAACCGUUUAUUCUCAUGUGCAUACCGAGCAAACGUGGAGGAGAGUCCCUACCACCGCCACUGCCACUGCCGCCGCCGCCACCGCCGCCACCACCACAGUUCACCUGAACAUUUAAUCUGAACUCCAGCCAGUGCCUGGGUCAGUCGAUGGAACCUGAUGUCUGCCCUACCUCCACCAGCCUCUCCUGCCUGUUAACACAAAUAAAGGUUU
rnacentral:lncRNA from 1 species